GAUGAACGCUAGCUACAGGCUUAACACAUGCAAGUCGAGGGGCAGCACAGUGUAGCAAUACACGGGUGGCGACCGGCGCACGGGUGCGUAACGCGUAUCCAACCUUCCCGUUACUCCGGGAUAGCCUUCCGAAAGGGAGAUUAAUACCGGAUGGUGUUUGAAGUCCGCAUGAAAUUCAAACUAAAGAUUUAUCGGUAACGGAUGGGGAUGCGUACCAUUAGAUAGUUGGCGGGGUAACGGCCCACCGUGGCUACGAUGUCUAGGGGUUCUGAGAGGUUGAACGGCCACAUUGGGACUGAGACACGGCCCAGACUCCUACGGGAGGCAGCAGUGAGGGAUAUUGCACAAUGGUCUGACGACUGAACCAGCCAUGCCGCGUGAAGGUCACGGCCCUAUGGGUCUUAAACUUCUUUUGCGAGGGAGCAAUAAGGCGCACGUGUGCGUCGAUGAGAGUACCUUGCGAAUAAGCAUCGGCUAACUCCGUG
rnacentral:rRNA from 1 species